UUCUGACAGGACGUCUCCUCGAGAUUCCCACCUUCCACUCGCACAGAUAGAGAGAUAGAAAGAGAGAGAGAGAGAGAGAGAGAGAGAGAGAGAGGUAGUUUGUUUGUUGUUAGGUAAGUANNNNNNNNNNNNNNNNNNNNGAGAGAGAGAGAGAGAGAGAGAGAGGGUAUUUUGUUUGUUUGUAGGUAAAGUCCUCCAAAGCUGAAGCUGAGGGAGAGGAAUGUGAAGGGGACGGGAGUUGACACCUUGCGAAAAAGCUUCACAUACAAAGCAAUGAAACAGAGUCACACAAAACAAGGAAAAUAGGAGUAGAGAAAAGGAGAAGAGCCUGCCUCAGUUAUAGCCUUCUCCCGCAACAGGUCAGCGAAACCAUUCCCUCCUCCCCAGCUUCCCACCACCCCUCGCUACUUAUCCACCAGAGUUCGAAAACCAA
rnacentral:lncRNA from 1 species